rnacentral:tRNA from 1 species
GUCGAUGUUGCUGACCUCAGCAUUGGUCGCGUUCAAUUGUGACAUGUUCACGGCAUCGGUGUCCGCCACGCCAGCCGUCACGUUCUUCAACGUGCGCGUUGCACCCGCGUUGUUGGCG